UUCCGGUUGAUCCUGCCGGACCUUACUGCUAUCGGGGUGGGACUAAGACAUGCGAGUCGAGCGUCUCUAGCUAUGUUGAGACGCGGCAGACGGCUCAGUAACACGUGGCUAACCUACCCUCAGGACGAGGACAAACCCGGGAAACUGGGGCUAAUACUCGAUAGGUGAGAAUGUCUGGAAUGAUUUCUCACUCAAAGGGCCUUGGGAACAUGCUUCCAAUGUCGCCUGGGGAUGGGGCCGCGUCCGAUCAGGUUGUUGGUGAGGUAACGGCUCACCAAGCCUAUAACCGGUACGGGCCGUGAGAGCGGUAGCCCGGAGAUGGGUACUGAGACAAGGACCCAGGCCCUACGGGGCGCAGCAGUCGCGAAAACUCCGCAAUGCACGAAAGUGUGACGGGGCUACCCCGAGUGCCAUCCGCUGAGGGUGGCUUUUCUUUGGUAUAACUAGCCGAGGGAAUAAGGAGAGGGCAAGACUGGUGUCAGCCGCCGCGGUAAUACCAGCUCUCCGAGUGGUAAGGAUGAUUAUUGGGCUUAAAGCGUCCGUAGCCGGCUUAGCAAGUCUCCUGUUAAAUUCAGCGACCUAAUCGUUGAGCCGCGGGAGAUACUACUAUGCUAGGAGGCGGGAGAGGUCGACGGUACUUCUGGGGUAGGGGUGAAAUCCUAUAAUCCCCAGGAGGACCACCAGUGGCGAAGGCUGUCGACUAGAACGCGCUCGACGGUGAGGGACGAAAGCUGGGGGAGCGAACCGGAUUAGAUACCCGGGUAGUCCCAGCCGUAAACGAUGCGGGCUAGGUGUUGGGAUGGCUACGUGCCAUUUCAGUGCCGCAGGAAAGCCAUUAAGCCCGCCGCCUGGGGAGUACGGCCGCAAGGCUGAAACUUAAAGGAAUUGGCCGGGGGAGCCCCACAAGGCGUGAAGCUUGCGGUUCAAUUGGACCUCCACGCCCGUU
rnacentral:rRNA from 1 species